GCCAGCGGCGAUAGCACGUUGAACACAUGCACCACCAGUUCCCUAUGGAUCACUGAAGUUAAACAACGUCGGGGAUGGUUAGUGUUCGGUAGGGAGACCCGCAUGCUGCUGGCU
rfam:Asian citrus Psyllid, Diaphorina citri - Florida Strain, whole genome shotgun sequence.